rnacentral:rRNA from 2 species
UGCCGGCGGAAGGGUCGAGUAACACGUGGGCAACCUGCCUGUAAGACUGGGAUAACUUCGGGAAACCGGAGCUAAUACCGGAUAAUCCUUUUCCUCUCAUGAGGAAAAGCUGAAAGACGGUUUCGGCUGUCACUUACAGAUGGGCCCGCGGCGCAUUAGCUAGUUGGUGAGGUAACGGCUCACCAAGGCGACGAUGCGUAGCCGACCUGAGAGGGUGAUCGGCCACACUGGGACUGAGACACGGCCCAGACUCCUACGGGAGGCAGCAGUAGGGAAUCUUCCGCAAUGGACGAAAGUCUGACGGAGCAACGCCGCGUGAGCGAUGAAGGCCUUCGGGUCGUAAAGCUCUGUUGUCAGGGAAGAACAAGUAUCGGAGUAACUGCCGGUACCUUGACGGUACCUGACCAGAAAGCCACGGCUAACUACGUGCCAGCAGCCGCGGUAAUACGUAGGUGGCAAGCGUUGUCCGGAAUUAUUGGGCGUAAAGCGCGCGCAGGCGGUUCCUUUAAGUCUGAUGUGAAAGCCCCCGGCUCAACCGGGGAGGGUCAUUGGAAACUGGGGAACUUGAGUGCAGAAGAGGAGAGCGGAAUUCCACGUGUAGCGGUGAAAUGCGUAGAGAUGUGGAGGAACACCAGUGGCGAAAGCGGCUCUCUGGUCUGUAACUGACGCUGAGGCGCGAAAGCGUGGGGAGCGAACAGGAUUAGAUACCCUGGUAGUCCACGCCGUAAACGAUGAGUGCUAAGUGUUAGAGGGUUUCCGCCCUUUAGUGCUGCAGCAAACGCAUUAAGCACUCCGCCUGGGGAGUACGGCCGCAAGGCUGAAACUCAAAGGAAUUGACGGGGGCCCGCACAAGCGGUGGAGCAUGUGGUUUAAUUCGAAGCAACGCGAAGAACCUUACCAGGUCUUGACAUCCUCUGACAACCCUAGAGAUAGGGCUUUCCCCUUCGGGGGACAGAGUGACAGGUGGUGCAUGGUUGUCGUCAGCUCGUGUCGUGAGAUGUUGGGUUAAGUCCCGCAACGAGCGCAACCCUUGAUCUUAGUUGCCAGCAUUAAGUUGGGCACUCUAAGGUGACUGCCGGUGACAAACCGGAGGAAGGUGGGGAUGACGUCAAAUCAUCAUGCCCCUUAUGACCUGGGCUACACACGUGCUACAAUGGAUGGAACAAAGGGCAGCGAAGCCGCGAGGUGAAGCCAAUCCCAUAAAACCAUUCUCAGUUCGGAUUGCAGGCUGCAACUCGCCUGCAUGAAGCCGGAAUCGCUAGUAAUCGCGGAUCAGCAUGCCGCGGUGAAUACGUUCCCGGGCCUUGUACACACCGCCCGUCACACCACGAGAGUUUGUAACACCCGAAGUCGGUGGGGUAACCUUUUGGAGCCAGC